UGGAAUGGCAUGACCAUAUUCAAUUUUGUGUGAAAUCAAUCUUUAAGAUGUGAUUUGACUUUUUCUGAUCCACUGUACCUUCUCCAUAAAUCUCCUGUAUUCUUCUGCCUUUCACAGUCACCAUACCAGCUCAUGAUCUGUGACAUAAAGAAAUGGCAGUAUAAAACAAAGAAAGAAUAAUGUUAGAAAUCAAUGGAAGGAGAAUCUGUGCUGGACUUGUGCUUGCAAGUGUGAGACACUAUCUCAGCUCCACAGUCCUAAAUCCCCCCCAUGCAAAGUGGCAGGUCAUUGAUAUCAAGGUGACACCAGCCUUCGCGAACACUCUCGUGAUGUGAUGGGAGGGACGGACAGGAGAGAAGCUCAGGGCCACUUUCUUUAAGCUCCAUUAAGCUCAGUGGCAAAUCAUACCCUAAUACCUGUUGUCACGACGGAUUCACUGGAGUGAAAAUGCUUUUCCAGGCCACCGGGUGAGACACACACACGCACACAGCACCCUCGCUCACGCUGUUAUUCACUUACUUAAAUUUAUAAGCAGGCGAUAGUACGUGACAGGCGUGCAAUCUCACUGAGUAACCACAACACCUGCGACGCUUGAAGACAUGAUACUGACAGCGGUGGCGUGUGCUGAACUUCUGAAACGAGGAGCUACUGUUUUCAGUUUCUGGCUUAAAUGGGAACAUUGAAAACUAUUUUUCUUGCAUACAGGUCAGUCAUGACAACUCUCGGAAUAGAACUUAAUAUCAUUUACUGGUCUACAAAAUCUUGGACGCGGCCCGCAUCCUGAGCAGAUACUGUGGUGAUCAUGGAGGAGUAGGGAGCGUGAGACCCCAGAGACAGACGAAUCCCCCUAUUGAUCCCGUGGGCUUAAACACUCAACGCGGACUCCAGCUCGUGACGAUCCUACACCCGACUACUCAUUGUCCUUCACCUACUUCCCGGACAGGCCCGGCGCUACGGGGGGGCAAAGGGUGGCAUUGCCCCCUUAGAAAGAGUUUGUGCCCCCCCAGUUUUCAUAAGGGAUUGUUUACUCAAACUGAAAAUUCUUUCUGUCAUUAAUUAUUAACACCCCCGUAGUUC